UACGGAGGGGGCGAGCGUUAUUCGGAAUUAUUGGGCGUAAAGGGCGCGUAGGCGGCUCUGUAAGUCAAAGGUGAAAUCCCUCGGCUCAACUGAGGAACUGCCUUUGAAACUGCAAGGCUUGAGGCCGGGAGGGGGUAGCGGAAUUCCCAAUGUAGCGGUGAAAUGCGUAGAUAUUGGGAGGAACACCAGUGGCGAAGGCGGCUACCUGGACCGGUUCUGACGCUGAUGCGCGAAAGCGUGGGUAGCAAACAGG
rnacentral:rRNA from 1 species